AUACGGAGGGGGCUAGCGUUGUUCGGAAUUACUGGGCGUAAAGCGCGCGUAGGCGGACCUGCAAGUCGGGGGUGAAAGCCCGAGGCUCAACCUCGGAACUGCCUUCGAUACUGCGGGUCUUGAGUCCGGGAGAGGUGAGCGGAAUUCCUAGUGUAGAGGUGAAAUUCGUAGAUAUUAGGAAGAACACCAGUGGCGAAGGCGGCUCACUGGCCCGGUACUGACGCUGAGGCGCGAAAGCGUGGGGAGCAAACCGGAUUAGAUACCCCGGUAGUCC
rnacentral:rRNA from 1 species